GUACUUGCGUUAGCGGCACAUACAAUAAAAUUGGAACUAUAUAGAGAAGAUCAGCAUGGUCUCUGGUAAGGGACAACACGCAAACUCACAAAGUGUUUCACAUGUUC